CGUCAAAUUUUGGGCCACAAACUGCCAUUUGGGUUAGUUUCUCAUGAUAUGCACGUGAAAGCGGUACUGGCGUCAGUGCACAAUUUUCCCAGUAAACUUAACCGCUGUUGAAAGUAGUGAAAAUGGAAGACAAGUUAUACAAUCUAUUCGUUCGCAAUGAACGCGCUGUGAAAGGAGUGUACUAUUCAUGGUGGCGGCAAUUACAACAACAGAAAGAUAAAGGCGCUACUUGCAUCCUACAGCUUUUUGUCGAUAUGACCGGUUUUAAGUACACGAUACAGGAUACAGAUUUGUUGCUUCUAAGCCAAGAUGCCAAUCGUUUACUCGAAGAGAACAUGUUUAAAUCGCCAUUCGAGAGACUAGACAUUAUGGAGGAUAGCCACUUUUUGGCGAACUUCAAUCGAUUCUGGGAAUAUGUAAUAGCAGACGCAUGGAAGGAACUACUGGAAGAGAACGACUGGUUCAAUAAGAGCGUCAUGUUUGCCAUAGCACUUGCCAAUAGCAAUUGUGACGAAUGUGUGAUGAUCGGAGCAUUGAUUGCUGUUCACUUUCUUCCACAUCUUUGCAUGGCACGAUGCCAUUUGAUGAACGAUAUCGAACGGGUGAGCUGCUUGGGAGAUCACCGGCGUAAAAGUUCGCUGCAAAAGAAACAAAACUACAUUGACCAAAUUUGCCAAAUGCUGAUACCGGACAUUAAGCGUGGAUUGCAAUAUUUGAAAGUAGCCAGCAUUGUAAUGGAGCAGAUUUUCCAAACCAUUAUAGCGUUCCCGGAACUCAUAUUAAUAGAAUAUGAUCAGCUGGACCUGAUCAGUGCUGGUAUGCUCUGGAAGAAUAGGAAGGUCGUCUAUACAGCGUUAAAAUGUUUGAAAAUCCUAAUGAUGGAUUAUGCUUUUUCUAAAACCAAGGAACCAGUUGCGUUGUUCAUACUAAAGAAUGAAACCCAACUAACCGGUAUAAUGGAAACAUUCAAAACCACUGAACAGCUGGUUCUGCAACUAUUUUUAGGUGCCCUGGGCACUUUAGGUAACAUACCGUUAAGCAAGGAUACUGCAGAAAAAAUUGUCUUAAAAAUGUUUGGCACGAACGAAAGUGUGCUGAACAUGGCAAUCGAUCUGCACGGAAUCUAUUACGCGUCAGUCAAACCAUCGGCUGAAGUAGAGACAAGUGCCCUCAGCGCAAUAUUGGAUGUGUUUGAGCGUUAUGCUUUUCCGCUAGUAGCAUUAAAUGCAGUUGUUAAAAAGUUAUGGAUAAAAGGGUUUUUCCGCAAGUUUGAUGGAUUGUUUGAAAUGUUAUCGAAUGCCAUAACACAACCAAAUGAUGCUUUUAUCACCAGCUGUACAGCACAUGUGAUUUACUACUGCCAUCACUUGCUAAUGGACGACAUAAGUUCAAAAAUUUCGCCUUUCCUUGAAGUAAUCGGUUCAGUUACUUGGAGCUUGAUACAUAAACGAAUGGAUAGCUUCGUGAAGGGUUAUCCUAAGUGUUUGAACAAAACGGUUAGCUCACCUCAUCUUUACAACUUGCUACUAAACUGUUUGAAUCCCGAGAACAACGAACUGUACAGUAUGGCUGGUGUAGAUUGCGAAGCAUACUACAUGGAAAUUUUGUUCAACAAUCUCUCACAUGUAGCGUUGAAUGCAACUUCGUACACGGUACUUUUCCAUACGCUUACAACCAUAUAUAACUUCGACAGUAUUGCCCAUAUCACGGAAGACAUUUGGAAUCAACUAUCCGAAAAGUACUACACGAUCUUCUUUCACACGCGUAGCCGUUUGAGGAGCUACAAUGUGGGUAUAGAUAUGACAUUGAUGAAAGCGUACACUGCUGCCAUCACACGGUUAUGCGUGCUCAUCGAGAUUAAUAAUACGUCGGAGCACGUUUUUACUUUGGCGGAAUACUUGGGAAACGAUCUGCGACUUUUGCAGAGGAUGAAUCUAUCCCAUGAAUCGGAAGGCAUCUUUUAUCGGCUCUACAAGAAUGCACUGUAUGCCGCUGCAAAAUGUUGCCUGGAGAAACCGGAUAAGCGACGUCCUGGGAUAAAACUGGAACAGUUUGGUAAACGAGUGCAAGAAUUCAUGGCCGAGUUGAUCGCACAAUUGAAUUGUAAGGAUUGUUCGUUCGCUGCUGGAAUGCACGUUGCGAAUGCUCUUUGCAAUAUGCUAAUAUUGACACAGGAAACGUACACCAGUUUACUACCGGCCCCGUUAAAGCGGAUGACGUAUAGCAUUGACUCAGAGGUGUUGCAGAAGCUUGCUAUUUACAUAGAACGUCACGUAUUCCUCGGGAAGACUGGUUCAGACGAGGACACCAAUUACGUGCUGGCUAGGAAGUUAAUGCUCGCCACGUACAGUGAUGUAUAUAGGUUGCAUCUCGCAUUACCUCAACAGACGGAUACAAGUCACAUUUUGAAAUAUUACGAAGAAAACAAACUGUUCGCCGAAGAACUGGAACAGUUGUUGAACAUACUGUUUGAGAAAAAUAGUACAGAAUUUUAUUCUAUCGUUAUGCAAGUAAUUGGUGACUAUUGCAAAAAACAAAACUUUAGCACCAAAGUGAAGAAAUUUUUGUCCGGUCUUCAUUCGUUUGAAGCAAAACGCUUACCCCAGGAGAAUGAAACAUAUUUCUCAUUCAAUAUCAUUAAACGUAUUGUCGAUUUAAUUUUGACGGAAACUGAUGAUGGAAGUGGUAUUGAACGAACCAAAUUUAAACUGUCUAAACUGUUGGACAUACUGAAUCCAUGGGCCAUUCAAUUGCCUUCAGAACAUCGCAAUGAACUCAUUCGUUUCAUUCGUCAACAUGAAAAUUAUUCGACUAUCAAUGGGGAGAAACAUUCAGAUCUCCGCCUUCUUUUGCAAAAAUUCCUGAAAUCACUCAAGAAAUAAUUACCUACUUAAUCUUUCUGCGUUCAUACUUCUUGAUACUUGAUACUGGGGCAUCAAUUGCCUUCAGAAUAUCGCAAUGAACUCAUUCGUUUCAUUCGUCAACAUGAAAAUUAUUCGACUAUCAAUGAGAAGAAACAUUCAGAUCUCCGCCUUGUUUUGCAAAAAUUCCUGAAAUCACUCAAGAAAUAACUACCUACUUAAUCUUUCU